rnacentral:rRNA from 1 species
GAUGAACGCUGGCGGCGUGCCUAAUACAUGCAAGUCGAGCGAACAGACGAGAAGCUUGCUCCUCUGACGUUAGCGGCGGACAGGUGAGUAACACGUGGAUAACCUACCUAUAAGACUGGGAUAACUUCGGGAAACCGGAGCUAAUACCGGAUAAUAUUUUGAACCGCAUGGUUCAAUAGUGAAAGACGGUUUUGCUGUCACUUAUAGAUGGAUCCGCGCUGCAUUAGCUAGUUGGUAAGGUAACGGCUUACCAAGGCAACGAUGCGUAGCCGACCUGAGAGGGUGAUCGGCCACACUGGAACUGAGACACGGUCCAGACUCCUAAGGGAGGCAGCAGUAGGGAAUCGUCCGCAAUGGGCGAAAGACUGACGGAGCAACGCCGCGUGAGUGAUGAAGGUCUUCGGAUCGUAAAACUCUGUUAUUAGGGAAGAACAAAUGUGUAAGUAACUAUGCACGUCGUGACGGUACCUAAUCAGAAAGCCACGGCUAACUACGUG